rnacentral:rRNA from 1 species
GCCUGCCCGGUGACUCUAUGUUAAACGGCCGCGGUAUACUGACCGUGCCAAGGUAGCGCAAUCACUUGCCCUUUAAAUGGGGGCCCGUAUGAAAGGCGCCACGAGGGCUAAUCUGUCUCCUUCUUCCAGUCAAUGAAAUUGAUCUCCCCGUGCAGAAGCGGGGAUAAACACAUAAGACGAGAAGACCCUGUGGAGCUUUAGAUACUAAGACUGAUCCCCUCAACAUACUCUGACAAAAGUAUUUAAACAAGGAAUUCAGUCGGACUAUCUUUGGUUGGGGCGGCCGCGGGGACCAAAAUAACCCCCACGUGGACCGGGAAUCUCAGUUACACUCUAGUACUUUUUAUUCCUACAAUCAAGAGUCACCACUCUAAGCAACAGAACUUCUGACCAACAAUGAUCCGACAAAGUCGAUCAACGGACCAAGUUACCCCAGGGAUAACAGCGCAAUCCCCUCUAAGAGUCCUUAUCGACGAGGGGGUUUACGACCUCGAUGUUGGAUCAGGACAUCCCAUUGGCGUACAAGCUAUUAAGGGUUCGUUUGUUCAACGAUUAAAGUCCUACGUGAU